ACGGAGGGUGCAAGCGUUAUUCGGAAUUACUGGGCGUAAAGCGCGUGUAGGCGGUCCUGCAAGUCUGAUGUGAAAGCCCCGGGCUUAACCCGGGAAGUGCAUUGGAAACUGUGGGAAUUGAGUACUGGAGAGGAUGGGGGAGCUCCCGGUGUAUAGGUGAAAGUCGAAGAAACCGAGAGGAAGAUCAGAGGGGGUGGCGCCCAUCUGGAAGUAAACUGGCGAUGAGACACGCAUAGGUUGUGAGCAAACAU
rnacentral:rRNA from 1 species